UACGGAGGAUGCGAGCGUUAUCCGGAUUUAUUGGGUUUAAAGGGUGCGUAGGCGGCCUGCCAAGUCCGCGGUAAAAUUGCGGGGCUCAACCCCGUACAGCCGUUGAAACUGCCGGGCUCGAGUGGGCGAGAAGUAUGCGGAAUGCGUGGUGUAGCGGUGAAAUGCAUAGAUAUCACGCAGAACCCCGAUUGCGAAGGCAGCAUACCGGCGCCCGACUGACGCUGAGGCACGAAAGUGCGGGGAUCAAACAGG
rnacentral:rRNA from 1 species